rnacentral:rRNA from 1 species
GAUGAACGCUGGCGGCGUGCCUAAUACAUGCAAGUAGAACGCUGAAGGAGGAGCUUGCUCUUCUGGAUGAGUUGCGAACGGGUGAGUAACGCGUAGGUAACCUGCCUGGUAGCGGGGGAUAACUAUUGGAAACGAUAGCUAAUACCGCAUGACAACAGUUAUUGCAUGAUAACUGUUUAAAAGGGGCAACUGCUCCACUACCAGAUGGACCUGCGUUGUAUUAGCUAGUUGGUGAGGUAACGGCUCACCAAGGCGACGAUACAUAGCCGACCUGAGAGGGGGAUCGGCCAGACUGGGACGGAGACACGGCCCAGACGCCUACGGGAGGCAGCAGUAGGGAAUCUUCGGCAAUGGACGGAAGUCUGACCGAGCAACGCCGCGUGAGGGAAGAAGGUUUUCGGAUCGUAAAGCUCUGUUGUAAGGGAAGAACGAGUGUGAGAGUGGAAAGUUCACACUGUGACGGUAUCUUACCAGAAAGGGACGGCUAACUACGUG